UUGACCUCCAUGACUCAUCCUAUUAACAAUGAGAUCCUUUAUAGAAAUGAAGAAAAGAGAUACAUCCCCCAUCAUGCAUUACUGUGUUAUUUCUAUUCACGCACAUCCAAAGAAGAGAUGCUGGCAGGCAGGAACAAGGCCGGAAACUGAAAUUCCCAAUAUGUCUGCUAUCUUUUCGGGAGGUAUAGGCCAACACGACUUACAGAUUGUCUUUGGAUUUUAUUAAUUGUCAUAGCAAAGCAUGGGACCAACGGUAUUCGAUGUUGAUUAAGCUUGAAUGGUAAUUUUGAUUCGUUGGGCGACAUUAUUAUUCUUGAAAUAGUGACAUUUUUUCCUUUAUUAGUUCCUGAAAUAAUGUCACCUCUAACAGACCAUGUUCCAAGUAACGUGACAAUCAAUCGUGUUCCAUUGCACAAUCCUUCUA